rnacentral:lncRNA from 10 species
CUAUCUUCUGGAGCACUUAUUCACUAGCAGUUCUCUAGAGGUUAUAUCAAGUUGUUGAAUUUCUGGGUUAUAGUGUAUGCACAUUUUUUAAAUUGCAUGAUCAUCUCAUAAUGCACUUCAAAAUUAUUGUGCCAAAUAUUCUGACUAGCAGUAUUUACUUGGGGAGUAGUAGUUAUGGGACGACCCCAGAUUCUUAGUUAUGGAGAGUCUUCUCUGGGAUCUGACAUACACCCUAGCCACCCUGUAUUUUCUCCUAUAUAAUUCAUUUACUAUCUUCAGAGAAAAGAAAUUAUUUUUUCAAUUGUUCCUUAAUAAGCAAAGGCAAAUGCCAGACAUUCCACAAGUAGUAAUGGGAUCAAUUUCUACUCAUAAGGAUAGCUAUAAAUGAAGAAACAAGGAAAAAUAGAUUCUAAACAAUUAUAUAUAUGUGUUGCUAUAUUCCUGACAAAUGAGGAC